CCUACGGGAGGCAGCAGUGAGGAAUAUUGGUCAAUGGACGAGAGUCUGAACCAGCCAAGUAGCGUGAAGGAUGACUGUUCUAUGGGUUGUAAACCUCUUUUAUAUGGGAAUAAAAUGUUCCACGUGUGGCAUUUUGUAUGUACCAUAUGAAUAAGGAUCGGCUAACUCCGUGCCAGCAGCCGCGGUAAUACGGAGGAUCCGAGCGUUAUCCGGAUUUAUUGGGUUUAAAGGGAGCGUAGGUGGAUUGUUAAGUCAGUUGUGAAAGUUUGCGGCUCAACCGUAAAAUUGCAGUUGAAACUGGCAGUCUUGAGUACAGUAGAGGUGGGCGGAAUUCGUGGUGUAGCGGUGAAAUGCUUAGAUAUCACGAAGAACUCCGAUUGCGAAGGCAGCUCACUGGACUGCAACUGACACUGAGGCUCGAAAGUGUGGGGAUCAAACAGGAUUAGAUACCCUAGUAGUC
rnacentral:rRNA from 1 species